rnacentral:lncRNA from 1 species
AUUAAGAGUCAGCUGAGUUUCCAUGGGAGUCACUCUUGGGGGAACUUGGGAGCAAUUUUUUAGUUCUGCUACUGCCAUUUGCACUAGGAGGGAUCCAGGUCUUGUUGACCAUGUGGCUUCCCUUGAAAACACCAGAAAUAUAUCCCUUCUCCAAUAACUCUCCAUUUCAUGGCAAGAGCAUUGAUUGGCUUUCUGUUCUCCAGGAGUCUCAUUAAUCUCUCUGUUUGGGAGGUUGUGUGGCCCAGAGUUGCAAAGCUCUCUAGAGAAGUUCCCUGUUCCUUGGGUUUACAUUGACUCAGAGGGCAAGAGCCAAAUAUAGGGUUUUUUGUCCCUUUUAAUUUAACUUUAAUUUUUAUUAUUGAUUUUAUUUUUUUAAAUACAUGACAGCAGAAUGCAUUACAAUUCUUAUUACACAUAUAGAGCACAAUUUUUCAUAUCUUUGUAUACAAAGUAUGUUCACUCCAAUUCAUGUCUUUAUACAUGUACUUUUUGUGCAUUACAAUUCUUAUCACACAUAUCUACCACGAUUUUUCAUAUCUCUGUUUGUAUAUAAAGUAGGUUGAUACCCAAUUCAUGUCUUCAUACAUGACUUUGGAUAAUGAUGUCCAUCACAUUCCACCAUCCUUGUUAAUCCCCUGUCUCCUCCCCUUCCUUCCCUCCCCUCUUCCCUAUAGGUGAAUUAACUUUAAUUUUUAAGACUUGAUGUUAUACAUCUAGCAAGUCAGUCUCACCAGUCUUAAAUUAAGAAUACUGUGGUUUAACUUUAAUGUAUAUAACCUCACAUUAAUUGAGGUCUGUGAUAUCUUAUCUGUCAUUUAAGUGAUUGCUUAUCUUAAAUUAACCCAGGUUGUGUGUUCUUGAAGCAAUACUUUUGUAAAACAUUAACAGGCAACAUGUAUACAGUUUAUAAGGAAAAUACGAAAUAAAAUUAAUAAGAGUAAAAACGUG